rnacentral:rRNA from 1 species
UUACGAUCUCGUGCGCGGUCCCUAUUUUAUAAAUUUGCGGGUUAAGGAUGGAUGGACUACAUUCCAGUACUAGAGAAUCCAGUCUAUUCUGGGGGAGUAUGUCGCAGACUGAAACUAAAGAAAUGACGAAGGGCACACAGAGUGAGCUGCGCUAUUUGACUCAACACGGGGAAACUUACCAGGUCCAGAUAUAGUAAGGAUUGACAGAUUGAUAGCUCUUUCUUGAUUCUAUAGGUGGUGGUGCAUGGCCGUUCUUAGUUGGUGGAGUGAUUUGUCUGGUUAAUUCCGAUAACGAACGAGACCUUAACCUGCUAAUUAGUCAUUCUCAUUUUAUGGGGCACGACUUCUUAGAGGGACUAUGCAUAUCAAGUGCAUGGAAGUUUGAGGCAAUAACAGGUCUGUGAUGCCCUUAUAUGUCCUGGGCUGCACGCGUGCUACACUGAUGCAAGCUAACGGAAUGCCUAGCUAGACAUAGUAUGGCAAUCUGGAAUAUGCAUCGUGAUGGGGAUAGAUCUUUGCAAUUAUAGAUCUUGAACGAGGAAUUCCUAGUAAGUGCAAGUCAUCAUCUUGCAUUGAUUAUGUCCCUGCCCUUUGUACACACCGCCCGUCGCUCCUACCGAUACCGGGUGAUCCGGUGAACCUUUUGGACCCUCAUUGGAAAAAUAAGUAAACCUUAUCACCUAGAGGAAGGAGAAGUCGGAACGAGUAAUCUAGUGCAUCGCGAGAAUCCGAGCUCGAAUCACGGCCGCGUAGGGA